UUCAAAUGCAUGUUAGAUACUACACUGGUGAUUGGAUACAUGUUGCCAAAAGAAAAUGUAUUGGUAAAAGAAGAAAAAAAUCCAAAUGACAUGGACUGUAGCUGUAUGUUUUGUACAAAUAGACUAGUAGAGGCAAGAGCAGAACUUACAUCUAGGAGGAAAAACCACCAUUAGAACUCCCAUGCUGCAAAUCUAAGCUACCGGAAGACUAGUGGUCAAACUGUAAAAGACGGAUUUGCAAUUAGUUGAUGGGCUAAAUAGAUCUCGACUGAUGCCAAUCUAACACCUUUAUAACGUCCAUGGUCCACCAUGACUUGCUGGUGAUCAGUUCUAUUUAGAUUCCCUAGGACCAUUUGUUGGUGAUCAGUUCUAUUUAGAUUGAAACACACUCCACUGCUCAAAACUCAACAGUCAAAAUUUCUAACAACACAAAUAACAAAAUCACGUACACAUCAGAUUGAUAGAAAUAUUGUUAAUAGUUUUCAGUUUCAUGAUUGAUUUGAAAUGGGAUUAGUCAGCAAUUAUUCAUGGGAUGCCUAUAGAAUUCAAUUUGCU